rnacentral:rRNA from 1 species
UAGGGAAUCUUCCACAAUGGACGAAAGUCUGAUGGAGCAACGCCGCGUGAGUGAAGAAGGGUUUCGGCUCGUAAAAACUCUGUUGUUAAAGAAGAACAUAUCUGAGAGUAACUGUUCAGGUAUUGACGGUAUUUAACCAGAAAGCCACGGCUAACUACGUGCAAG